GAACGCACAUUGCGCCCCGUGGUAUUCCGCGGGGCAUGCCUGUUCGAGCGUCAUUUCAACCCAUCAAGCUUCGGCUUGGUCUUGGGGCCUGCGGUUUCGCAGCCUCUAAACCCAGUGGCGGUGCCCUCGAGCUCUGAGCGUAGUAAUUCUUCUCGCUAUAGGGUCUCGGUGGUGUCUUGCCAAUAACCCCAAAUUUUUAUAAGGUUGACCUCGGAUCAGGUAGGGAUACCCGCUGAACUUAAG
rnacentral:misc_RNA from 1 species